rnacentral:rRNA from 1 species
GCUUGUCUCAAAGAUUAAGCCAUGCAAGUCUAUGUAUAAAUCUUUAUACGGUGAAACUGCGAAUGGCUCAUUAUAUCAGUUAUCGUUUAUUUGAUAAUCACUGCUACUUGGAUAACUGUAGUAAUUCUAGAGCUAAUACAUGCGUCAAUGCCCGACUUUGGAAGGGCUGUGUUUAUUAGAUCCAAAACCAAUGCGGGGCAACCCGGUUACUGGUGAUUCAUAAUAACCUAUCGGACCGAAUGGCCUUGCGCCGUCGGUGCAUCAUUCAAAUUUCUGCCCUAUCAGUUGUGGAUGGUAGGGUAUUGGCCUACCAUGACUUUAACGGGUAACGGAGAAUUAGGGUUCGAUUCCGGAGAGGGAGCCUGAGAAAUGGCUACCACAUCCAAGGAAGGCAGCAGG